rnacentral:tRNA from 1 species
GAGGAUGUAGCUCAAUUGGCAGAGCGUCGCCCUGUGGAGGCGAAUGUUGCGGGAUCGUUCCCCGUCAUCCUCC